rnacentral:rRNA from 1 species
UACGUAGGGGGCAAGCGUUGUCCGGAAUCAUUGGGCGUAAAGCGCGUGUAGGCGGUCCGGUAAGUCCGCUGUGAAAGUCGGGGGCUCAACCCUCGGAUGCCGGUGGAUACUGUCGGGCUCGAGUGCGGAAGAGGCGAGUGGAAUUCCUGGUGUAGCGGUGAAAUGCGCAGAUAUCAGGAGGAACACCGAUUGCGAAGGCAGCUCGCUGGGACGUUACUGACGCUGAGACGCGAAAGCGUGGGGAGCAAACAGG